rnacentral:snoRNA from 1 species
CACAGGAUGGAGAGGAAUAGAAUCUUGCCCUGACUAGCUUGAUGUGGCGUCUGAUGCUGAAU